rnacentral:rRNA from 1 species
UACGAACUUUGCAAGCGUUAUUCGGAAUCACUGGGCUUAAAGGGUGCGUAGGCGGCUUGUUAAGUAGGGUGUGAAAUCCCCCGGCUCAACCGGGGAAUUGCGCCCUAAACUGGCGAGCUGGAGUGAGAUAGGGGUGUGUGGAACUUCCAGUGGAGCGGUGAAAUGUGUUGAUAUUGGAAGGAACGCCAGUGGCGAAAGCGACACACUGGGUCUCAACUGACGCUGAGGCACGAAAGCCAGGGGAGCAAACGGG